rnacentral:lncRNA from 1 species
AACCCUAACCCUAGAAGACAAAGUCAGAGGCGGCUCCAAUGUUCUUCUUCUCUACUGAGUUCGAUCUCGACUCGCCUGAGUUCGAGCGAGCUCACUCAAAACGGUUCCCUCUCCACGUCACCUCUAUUCCCCAACAGAUUUGUCAGAGGAGUACGAUAUUCUCUCAGAAUUCUACAAUUUCGGAUUCAAAAGGACGAUUUGCUGGACUAAUGGGGGCCGUGGAUAGAUGUAAAUCGAUCCAUGCCUUCCAUUUGUCCCAAAAAUUGUUCAAAACAAACGUGAGGAUUUUUGAAUUCGGGGCAGAAGAUUCGAAAUUUUGAGGGCUAUAUAUAUAUGAGGUAAGCUUUCUUUGAGAAGGGAUAGAAAAAUCAGAGGAGAAAAAUCUAAAAAAAAAAGAUCUUAAAGCUUAGUCGAGAUUUUCAGUUUUUUUAAUAGUCAUUUUUCUUCAAGUCCUUCUUCUUCAGUUUCUUUUUUAGAAAAAAAAACAUUAAAAAAAAUGUGUGCUCUGAGUUCAUCCUUGUUUUGAGUUUAUUGCAUUUUUUUUAAGAGAAAAACCAAAAACAAAGUGACCGAAAACAGACAUUUAUCUAGCUUUGGUUUUUUAAUCUUGAUUUUUUGGGAAGUUUUUGGAUUAAACUUCAAGUUAAUGUCUGUAGCUGGGAUUCUGAACUUUGGCACUGGUUGGAUUUUUGUCCGAAUUUUUGGUUGAAAUUUCGAUCUGGUGGGCUGACUGGUCGAGCUUUCGUUACUGCUGCUGAGUUCUUUCUUCUGUUUCGGAAUUUCGUUUGCUAUUUUCGGUUAUUUUUACUAAUAGGUAUGUUUCAACACUGUUGUAUUCAUUUUCUAUUUGAAUAAAGUUGUUGAUUUCUGGUUUGGCUUGCUGAAUGCUUGUGAUAGUAUGUUAACAUGAACUUAAACAGAUCUAUAUUAAAAUGAUUUCUGGAGUCAAGUGUUAGAGUUUUACUAGGUCGAGAUUUGAGUGCAAGCAUGAAGCAGCGAGUUUUGUUUUACUGAUCAACCAUUGUGAGAAGGAAUUUUGGUUCCUAUUUGUUUUGGGGAGUCAAGUUGCUGUAUUUUUUCUGAGUUUCCUUUACUGCAGAAUGUAUACCUUUCAUUAAGUCUCAAGCUAUCAUGACUACUGAUUUAAAAGUGUACUGUGAUUCGAGAAGUGUUUUCUUCAAUUUUGUCCGCAAAGGGGACUGUUUCAUUGGUUUCUUGGCUCAUUUUCGCUAUAUUUGUUAGGCUGGCUUGUGGUGGGGGUGAGAAACAGGGCAGUUUUUUUAUCUAUGUUGCUGCAUUUUCUGCUAAGUUUUGAGCUGCUCCGUAGGUGCUGGGGUUUGUGUUCUUAUGCGUAUGUGUUGGUUGUUGUUUUUUUGGUUAAGAAGACAGGUCUCUUUUAGGCGUCAUUUUGGCCUUCUUUAUCUUUGUGCAUUUUUCCAUGUUGAUUGUAGAGAACUCUUAAUAGGAUUUCUGUUUAAUUUUGUCCAUGCUCAGUUUGUGUUGUUUGACAAUCUGCUCGUAGACUACUGAAGUUGACUGUUGGGUCACAUCGAAAAUCAAAGAAAUAAAGGAAUGUAGCAGACCCAUAUUCAUUUCGAGUGCUGGGUGUAAUUUUUGAAAAGGAUUCGUGAAGUGCUACAUUUCAUGUUAUAUUUUCUCCACCUGAUAAUGGUUUAAUUUCAUGUUAUAAUCAGUAGGAUUUGCCUAGAAGAACAUUAACACUAUAUAAUCCAAAGACCAAAUCUGAUAUUAUAAUAUAAUACUUUUGGAUUAAAAAGAAUAAUUACAUAUCUGUUUCAAUGGUCUCUUGUUUUCUUUCCUCAAGUUGGCUAGUGAAAGUUGUGCGGGCAUUCUUUGCAAGUCGGACUUAUACUCUGCUUGUGAAUUAGCUAGCAGGUAAAGGUUACUCCCACUUUAAACUAGCGGUUCCACAAUUCCUAGUGCAAGAAUAUUUAAG